rnacentral:rRNA from 1 species
UUGUGCCUACGGGAGGCAGCAGUGAGGAAUAUUGGUCAAUGGACGGAAGUCUGAACCAGCCAAGUAGCGUGCAGGAUGACGGCCCUAUGGGUUGUAAACUGCUUUUGUAUGGGGAUAAAGUUAGGGACGUGUCCCUAUUUGCAGGUACCAUGCGAAUGAGGACCGGCUAAUUCCGUGCCAGCAGCCGCGGUAAUACGGAAGGUCCAGGCGUUAUCCGGAUUUAUUGGGUUUAAAGGGAGCGUAGGCUGGAGAUUAAGUGUGUUGUGAAAUGUAGACGCUCAACGUCUGAAUUGCAGCGCAUACUG